GGCUCCGUGGCUUAAUGGUUACGGCUUCUGUCUCCCAAGCAGAAGUUCAGGGAUCAAAUCCCGGUCGAUACCU
rfam:Culex pipiens quinquefasciatus supercont3.331 genomic scaffold, whole genome shotgun sequence.